CCUGUCUCUUGCCCUCUCCUAAAGGGCAGCCAACCUUAUUUGAUUGCAAAUUCCUGUCCUACUGUGUUUUACACCCCACCUCCUAUAGAAUGUAAGCUCGAUUGAGCAGGGUCCUCUUCAACCUAUUGUUCCUGUAAGUUUAUUUGUAAUUGUCCUAUUUAUAGUUAAAUCCCCUCACAUAAUAUUGUAAAGCGCUACGGAAUCUGUUGGCGCUAUAUAAAUGGCAAUAAUAAUAAUAAUAAUAAUAAU